rnacentral:tRNA from 1 species
GGUUAUGGCUCAGAGGUAGAGCACUUGCCUAUCAUGCGUGAGGCACUGGGUUUGAUCCUCAGCACCA